rnacentral:rRNA from 1 species
CAGUCGCCGCGGGAAUACGAAGGGGGCUAGCGUUGUUCGGAUUUACUGGGCGUAAAGCGCACGUAGGCGGAUAUUUAAGUCAGGGGUGAAAUCCUGGGGCUCAACUCCAGAACUGCCUUUGAUACUGGGUAUCUAGAGUCCGGAAGAGGUGAGUGGAACUCCUAGUGUAGAGGUGGAAUUCGUAGAUAUUAGGAAGAACACCAGUGGCGAAGGCGGCUCACUGGACGACUGUUGACGCUGAGGUGCGAAAGCGUGGGGAGCAAACAGGAUUAGAUACCCCCGUAGUCCCUGUCUCUUAUAC